AAACCAACUGGGAUUACCUUAGUAACGGCGAGUGAAGCGGUAAAAGCUCAAAUUUGAAAUCUGGUACUUUCAGUGCCCGAGUUGUAAUUUGUAGAAUUUGUCUUUGAUUAGGUCCUUGUCUAUGUUCCUUGGAACAGGACGUCAUAGAGGGUGAGAAUCCCGUUUGGCGAGGAUACCUUUUCUUUGUAAGACUUUUUCGAAGAGUCGAGUUGUUUGGGAAUGCAGCUCAAAGUGGGUGGUAAAUUCCAUCUAAAGCUAAAUAUUGGCGAGAGACCGAUAGCGAACAAGUACAGUGAUGGAAAGAUGAAAAGAACUUUGAAAAGAGAGUGAAAAAGUACGUGAAAUUGUUGAAAGGGAAGGGCAUUUGAUCAGACAUGGUGUUUUUUGCAUGCACUCGCCUCUCGUGGGCUUGGGCCUCUCAAAAAUUUCACUGGGCCAACAUCAAUUCUGGCAGCAGGAUAAAUCAUUAAGAAUGUAGCUACUUCGGUAGUGUUAUAGCUUUUUUGGAAUACUGUUAGCCGGGUAUUGA
rnacentral:rRNA from 1 species